UGAGCAUUGACAUGAGUUUGAUACAGUAGUUUGACUUGUAUAUUAUUUACUUGAAUAAUGGUUUUACGUUAUUUCGUAAGCAGGAAUUAAAUGUCUAAAACAUCUCAAAUAUCAUUGCUAUAUACAUGGUACUUUUCUUGAAACAAUAUAUGUUCAAAUUUCUAGAUGUACCCAUAGUCUCUUAUUGUGGAGGCACUGUAUCUAGUUAUUCUUUUUGGUUUGGCUUCCUUGCUAAUGAACUCCUUUUUAUUUCCCCAUGUUUUUAAUUGUACUUAUUUUCCAUCUAAUUACCCUUGUUUUGGCUCAUGAUAUUGUUUUCAUUCAUAUUAGAAUCUAUGGCAAAUAUUGCAGAUAUAUAACACAGUAUGUGAAAAAAUUCUCUUGAAAAUGGUGUUUUUGAUAUGCCUGAGCAGCUUGCUAACCUGUGGUCACUGACUAUGUUGGUCCAUAUUGUCUAUUCCAUUAACUCUUAAUUUAUCACCCGUAAGCUUUCUUAUUUUCACAUUGAUAUCAAAUCAUAUCAGCAUUGAUUAAGAAUUGUUUGUCUUUUUCAUGUAUGCACAAAUUCUAUGUAGAGGCUAAUGCUUUGUUCAGAACUGCGGGUGUGGAGACAAAUAAAAGCUGAACAAGAAGUGUCUAUCUUCCAAACUCCCAACAUUACUUUCUCGUAAUAUUGUAUUCUUCGUGAAUCUACAAGGCAUAUGCAAAUCCAGUUGUACUUAUUUCUUGCAAUUCAAACAAAUAACAUAAUCAUAAGCUAUGUCUUUCUGCAAUAGUGAAGUAAAAUAUGCCAUUGUCUGUGUGUCUCAUCUUCUGGUUUUAUUUCAGGUUGAAUUAUUAAGUAAAUUG
rnacentral:misc_RNA from 1 species